rnacentral:lncRNA from 1 species
CUGAACAGGAACAUGCCUGUCCCUUGCCUUCUAGGUCACUCCUCUUACCACUGGAGGAACAAGGCUGAGCCAGUUACUUUGGAAGGCCUGAACGGAGAGCGCUGGGAACUUUUCUACUCAUAGAUCGAAUGCAGCCCUUCUUGGUGUACAAAUUGCGAUUGAUGAAAGUGCCCUUCUCUGGGAAGAGAGUGGAGUGGCUGAUUAAGAGCAUGGGCUUGGGAGUCAUACUGAACUGGAUUGUGCUCCAGCUGAGGCUCUUCUUUGCUGUCUGACCUUGGGUAAGUUGUUUAACAUCUCUGUGGCAGAUUAAAGAUGGCCACAAAUUCUUUUACACUCUUGGAUCAAAGAAUGGGAUCUAUUUCUCCUCUUGAAUCUGGGCCACUCUGAGGCUGCUUUCACCAAUAGAAUACAUCCAAAGUGAUGCUGACCAUUCCAGGCCUAGCUUUCAAGAAGAUUAGCCACCUUUGCCUUGGUCUUUUGGGGCCUGGAGUUGCCAUGUAAGAAGUCUGAGUGUCCUGCUGGAGAUGAGGCCACAUGGAAACACCUUGAAGCACCAGAGAUGUGAGUAAAGGAGCCAUCUUGGACAUCUGGCCCAAUGAAGCCGUCUAAUGGCCUCUGGCCUCAGCUGACAUCUGACUCCCACUGCAUGAGAGACCCCAAAAAAGAGCUGCCCAGCUAAGCCCCAG